CAGUCGCCGCGGUAAUACGUAGGGUGCGAGCGUUAAUCGGAAUUACUGGGCGUAAAGCGUGCGUAGGCGGUGAGUUAAGUCUGCUGUGAAAUCCCCGGGCUCAACCUGGGAAUGGCAGUGGAUACUGGCUCGCUAGAGUGUGUCAGAGGAUGGUGGAAUUCCCGGUGUAGCGGUGAAAUGCGUAGAGAUCGGGAGGAACAUCAGUGGCGAAGGCGGCCAUCUGGGACAACACUGACGCUGAGGCACGAAAGCGUGGGGAGCGAACAGGAUUAGAUACCCCCGUAGUCCCUGUCUCUUAUAC
rnacentral:rRNA from 1 species